GGCGGACGGGUGAGUAACGCGUGAACAAUCUGUCCUGUACAAAGGAAUAGCCUCGGGAAACCGGGAUUAAAACCAUAUAACACUUAAGUAUCGCAUGGUACAUAAGUCAAAUUGAAUAAGAGGUAUAGGAUGAGUUCGCGUCUGAUUAGCUAGUUGGUGAGGUAAAGGCCCACCAAGGCGACGAUCAGUAGCCGGCCUGAGAGGGUGAACGGCCACACUGGAACUGAGACACGGUCCAGACUCCUACGGGAGGCAGCAGUGGGGAAUAUUGCACAAUGGAGGAAACUCUGAUGCAGCGACGCCGCGUGAGUGAAGAAGGUCUUCGGAUCGUAAAACUCUGUCCUUGGUGAAGAAAGAAAUGACGGUAGCCAAGGAGGAAGCCCCGGCUAACUACGUGCCAGCAGCCGCGGUAAUACGUAGGGGGCGAGCGUUGUCCGGAUUUACUGGGCGUAAAGGGUGAGUAGGCGGUAAUAUGUGUCAG
rnacentral:rRNA from 1 species